rnacentral:rRNA from 1 species
AUUGAACGCUGGCGGCGUGCUUAACACAUGCAAGUCGUGCGGUAACAGGCGUAGCAAUACGUGCUGACGAGCGGCGAACGGGUGCGUAAUACAUGGGAAUCUGCCUUUAGUGGGGAAUAACCCGGCGAAAGCCGGGCUAAUGCCGCAUAAGAUCUUCGGAUGAAAGCGGGGGAUCGUAAGACCUCGCGCUGAUAGAUGAGCCCAUGCCGGAUUAGCUAGNGGUGAGGUAACGGCUCACCAAGGCGACGAUCCGUAGCUGGUCUGAGAGGACGGCCAGCCACACUGGGACUGAGACACGGGCCCAGACUUCUACGGGAGGCAGCAGUGGGGAAUAUUGGACAAUGGGGGAAACCCUGAUCCAGCGACGCCGCGUGUGUGAAGAAGGCCUGCGGG